rnacentral:rRNA from 1 species
UGGCGAACGGGUGAGUAACACGUGAGCAACCUGCCCCCUGGCUCUGGGAUAACUCCGGGAAACCGGAGCUAAUACCGGAUAUGACUCGUGGCCGCAUGGUCUGCGGGUGGAAAGUUUUUCGGCUGGGGAUGGGCUCGCGGCCUAUCAGCUUGUUGGUGGGGUAAUGGCCUACCAAGGCGACGACGGGUAGCCGGCCUGAGAGGGCGACCGGCCACACUGGGACUGAGACACGGCCCAG